rnacentral:rRNA from 1 species
AUUGAACGCUGGCGGCAGGCCUAACACAUGCAAGUCGAGCGGAUGAAGGGAGCUUGCUCCUGGCUUCAGCGGCGGACGGGUGAGUAAUGCCUAGGAAUCUGCCUGGUAGAGGGGGCUAACGUCAGGAAACGGGCGCUAAUACCGCAUACGUCCUGAGGGAGAAAGUGGGGGAUCUUCGGACCUAACGCUAUCUGAUGAGACUAGGUCGGAUUAGCUAGUUGGUGGGGUAAAGGCCUACCAAGGCGACGAUCCGUAACUGGUCUGAGAGGAUGAUCAGUCACACUGGAACUGAGACACGGUCCAGACUCCUACGGGAGGCAGCAGUGGGGAAUAUUCGACAAUGGGCGAAAGCCUGAUCCAGCCAUGCCGCGUGUGUGAAGAAGGUCUUCGGAUUGUAAAGCACUUUAAGUUGGGAGGAAGGGCAGUAAGUUAAUACCUUGCUGUUUUGACGGUACCAACAGAAUAAGCACCGGCUAACUUCGUG